CCCUGCAUUCGAAAGUGAUCGUGGGCUGCCCGUGCCCUGGUCAUUGAUAGUGCAGGGAGAGGAAUUGCCGAAAGCGUUUCCCCGU
rnacentral:snoRNA from 1 species